rnacentral:lncRNA from 1 species
CAGGAAGGAGCCUCCCCAGAAACGGAACCAGCGGGAACCUUGACCUGAGACUUGCAGCCUCCAGAACUGUGAGAAAAUAGAUUUCUGUUGUUUCAAGCCCCCGAGCCUGUGGUAUUCUGUCCCAGCAGCCUGAGCAGGCUGAAAUGGUCCCAAGUUCUUGUCCCACAUCCAGAAGAAUAAGGUUAUGCAGACAACCGGAGAGUGAGCAGGGCAGAAAAAACUUACUGCAGGACGGAACAGCUCCCAGUGUUGAGGGGCCCUGAGAGUGGGCAGCCACUACCUGAAGAGGGACCACGCUUCGCUUAUCCAGUCGUCAUUCACGGACCCUGCAUUGUCUCUGCCUCUUGGGCUUUGUGAAGAACACUACUGUGAACAGGGGAGUCCCCCUGCCUGUUUGGGUCCCUGCUUUCCAUUUCUUUGGGAGGUAUGUGGAGAGGAGAUUGCGGGGUCAUGUGGUCAUUCUAUUUGGCCCUCGGAGGAGCAGGCAUCCUGUUUUCCACAGCAGCUCUGCCAUCAAAUGGCACUUUCUUAGUGACACCCCCCGUAUCUCUCACCAUAAAUGUCUCUCCCCGUAAACAUUGCAACUCCUGGCUCACUUUCCUUCUCCUGUAACUUGUCACUGUGGAACUCUCAGGUGUGCCUGAGCCGACUCGCAGCAGCCCAGGAGGGCCAGCAGUGAGGCCCCUUCCCCGCUCCGUGGUCAGUGCCUUCACACAGGGAGUUUGGAGGUGGCUGUAGUGGAGGACUCACACCGCAGAAAUCAGCCAGUGCUGCAGGUCAGGGGCCGCCAUCCCCCAGAGCUGCUGUGAGACAUCGACCAGCACAUCAGUGGGCUGCUUUCUGCUGGUUUUAUUUGCAUGUAUUUUGGUCUGUUUCCCUACCUAGAAAAUAAACUCCCUGUGGCAGAA